UCAGGGAUUUACUGGGCUGCGCUCCCAUCCCACCACCAUGCUGGGCCCGCUGAGAAUCUGCAUUCUCCUGGUUGGACUCUCAUGGGCCCGAGCACAGGUGGUUCUGACCCAGUCCAGCCCGGAGAUUAAGAAACCCGGGGAACCCACUAAACUGACCUGUACCGUGAGCGGCUUUGCUCUCAGCAGCCAUGGUAUGAACUGGGUCCGGCAGGCUCCGGGAAGGGGGCUGGAGUGGCUGAUCUACUAUUAUUCCUCCUCCAGCAGCAGCUACUCCCCGGCAGCCCAGGGGCGAUUCACAGCCUCCAAGGACAGCUCCAGCGUCUACCUACACAGGAGCAGCCUGAAGCCCGAGGACACCGCGGUGUAUCCCUGGGCGAGGGACACAGUGAGGGGAAGCCGGUCUGGGCUCAGACACAAACCGCCCCGGUGCUAGUUUAAAAAGAAGCCCCCAGCAGGUGGCGCUCCGGAGCUACACGCAGCAAGGGGCCCAUGGCCGCAAAGACACUCAGACCUGGACCGGCUGGUCUCCCCCCUUUGUCCUCCUCUCCCUGCAUCCACAAGACUGACAUAAUCGUUUAACCAAAUGCAGCAAAAGGAGCCGGAUUGUCUCUCUCCUGCGGCUUGUCUUCCUUUGCCUCAAACAAACCCAGGCUGGGAAAGGAAAACAGUUAAGCGCUAAUUAGUACGUGUCAUUUAUUUGCUUCUCUCCGGCAUGAGGGUGGAGCUGCUUCUACUGCUCCCAAUGAAGUCAAUUGUUAUUUAUUAUUCUGUAUGAUGCCCCUAGGAGU